rnacentral:rRNA from 1 species
AGUGAACGCUGGCGGUAGGCCUAACACAUGCAAGUCGAACGGCAGCACAGUAAGAGCUUGCUCUUACGGGUGGCGAGUGGCGGACGGGUGAGGAAUACAUCGGAAUCUACUUUUUCGUGGGGGAUAACGUAGGGAAACUUACGCUAAUACCGCAUACGACCUACGGGUGAAAGCAGGGGAUCUUCGGACCUUGCGCGAUUGAAUGAGCCGAUGUCGGAUUAGCUAGUUGGCGGGGUAAAGGCCCACCAAGGCGACGAUCCGUAGCUGGUCUGAGAGGAUGAUCAGCCACACUGGAACUGAGACACGGUCCAGACUCCUACGGGAGGCAGCAGUGGGGAAUAUUGGACAAUGGGCGAAAGCCUGAUCCAGCCAUACCGCGUGGGUGAAGAAGGCCUUCGGGUUGUAAAGCCCUUUUGUUGGGAAAAAAAAGCAGCAGGUUAAUACCCCGCUGUUCUGACGGUACCCAAAGAAUAAGCACCGGCUAACUUCG